rnacentral:lncRNA from 1 species
UUUUUUUUUUUUUUUUUUUUUUUUUUUUAACUUGAGCAAUAGGACAAAUAGUAAUGCCAUUUGCUGAGAUAGAGCCUGGGGGCUGAGGUGGGGGGUGGUCAGGAGGAGAUUUUGGUGGAGGAAAAAUGUCCAGUUCUACCUUAAACAUGUUAAACUGGAGAUGCCUAUCAGAUUUCCAAAUGGAGCUAAUGAGUAAACAACUGAAAUACGAAUCUGAAGUUCAUAGGAAACAAUAUGUGGUGUAAAUUGGGGAGGUAUUAAGGUAUAAAUGGCAUCAAUAGCCACUGGAUGGGGAGCACUCACUUAGUUAAUGUGGAAGAAAAGAGAAGCAGACUAGAGACUAAGCCCUCUAAUCCUGAGACAUUCCAACUAGUAGAGGUCAGAGAGAAAGAAAAUCCAACAAGAUUUAUUUAAAAGGAGCAACAGGAGUUCCCGCUGUGGUGCAACUGGAUUGCUGGUGUCUUGAGAGCACUGGGAGGAAGGUUUAAUCCCCUUCCAGACACAGGGGGUUAAGGAUCCAGUAUUGCCACAGCUGCAGCUUAGGUGGCAACUGUGGUUUGGAUCUGAUCCCUGGCCCGGGAACUCCAAAUGCCGGGAGGUGGCCAAAAAAUAAAAAAAGUAAUAAAAGGAGCAACAAAGAAAUAGAAUUUAAAAGCAAGCAAACAAAAAGGGAUCUUAGAGAACAAAAUUUUCAAACAUUUUAAGAAGGGCACCAUAGGAGUUCCCGUCAUGGCUUGGCAGUAAUGAAUCCGACUAACAUCCAUGAGGAUGGGGGUUCAAUCCCUGGCCUUCCUUGGUGGGUUAAGGAUCCAGCAUUGCCAUGAGCUGCAGUGUAGGUCACAGACGAGGCUUGGAUCCCACGCUGCUGUGGCUGUGGCUUAGGCUGGCAGCUGCAGCUCUGACUGGCCCCCUAGCCUGUGAACUUCAAUAUGCCCCGGGUGCGGCCCUAAAAAAGACAGAAAAAAAAAAGGGCACUAUAAACUGUCAUUCCUGUUUAAGAGUUUGAGGAUAAGAUGCCUGAAAAUAGACCACUGGAUUUUGAAACAUGGAGGUAAUUUGAGACCUUGACAAGAGUGACUUUACAGAGGAGCUAUGUAGAUAAAAGCCUUCCCAUCUGUGGUCCGGCAUGUGCAGCAUAUGGAGGUUCCCCGGCUAGGGGUCUAAUCGGAGCUGUAGCCGCCGGCCUACACUAGAGCCAUAGCAACGCGGGAUCCGAGCCGCAUCUGGGACCUACACCACAGCUCACGGCAACGCCAGAUCGUUAAUGCACUGAGCGAGGCCAGGGAUCGAACCUGCAACCUCAUGGUUCCUAGUCAGAUUCGUUAACCACUGAGCCACGACGAGAACCCCGAGCUUCUCUCCUUCGUUCUACAUGUUCUUCCAAAGUGAUCUUAUCCAUUCUCAUAGUCUAAACUUCCAUCCACAUAAUGAUGAUUCCCAAGUCUUUAUUUCCAAACCAGGCUUCUCCUUCAAGCUUUAGACUGACAUACCUGGUAGCCAAUGGCACAUUUACUUAUUUAUUUGGCUGCCCUCACAGCAUAUGGAAGUUCCCAGGUGUGGCCAUAAAAAGAAAAGAAAAAGAAACCCAGUUCUUUUAAGUUAUCACCCCCCAUCUUCCCAUCCCUAUCCAGCUCUAAGAAAUUACUAAUAUACUUUGUCUCUGCAGAUUUCCCUAUUCUGGACUUUGGUAGGAAUAGAAUCAUACAGUAUGUGGCCUUUCAUGACUGGCUUAUUUCACUUAGCAUGCUUUCAAAGUUCAUCCGUUUAUCAGUACUUCAGCAGGUGUCAGUACUUUAUUCUUUUUUACAGCCAAAUAUUUAAAUUCCAUUGUAUGGACAUACAAAUGGGUUUGUCCAUUCAUCUGUUGAUGGACAUUAGGGUUGUUUCUACCUUUUGGCUAUGAUAAAUAAUGCUGCUAUAAACAUUUGUGUACAAGUUUGUGUGUGGACAUGUUUCAUUUCAUUUCUCUUGGGUAUACAACUGUGAAUGAAACUGCUGGGUCAUACAGUAAAGUCUACAUUUAACCAUUUGAGAAACUGGCAGACUACCUUGCUUUUCUUCUUCUUCUUUUUUUUUUUUUUUUUUUUUUUUUUUUUUUUUUGGUGUGUGUGUGUGUCUUUUUGGGGCUGCACCUCUGGCAUAUGGAAGUUCCUAGGCUAGGGGGUUGAACUGGAGCUACAGCUGCCGGCCACAGCCACAGCAACGCAGGAUCCCAGCCACGUCUAUGACCUAGACUGCAGGGAUCCUUAACCCACUGGGUAGGGCCAGGGAUUGAACUCCUGUCCUCGUGGAUAUUAGUCGGGUUUGUUACCACUGAGCCAUGAAGGGCACUCCAUGACAGACUGCUUUUUGAAGCAGUUGUACCAUUUUACAUUCACAUUAGCAGUAUAACAGUCCCAGUUUCUC